CUCAGGGGAGAGGGUCCCUCAGCCAGGAUUGCAAGAGGUUGCAGGCCAGGCCGAGGGACCCUGACAGUACACG
rfam:Myotis lucifugus cont2.28567, whole genome shotgun sequence.